GGUUGAAUGCGACGAAUUGGUAAGUCAGCGGAUUGUAAAUCCGUAGCCACCGAGAGGGGCAUCUAGGUUCAAGUCCUAGUUCAACCACCA
rnacentral:tRNA from 1 species